AUUUUUUUCAUAUCAUAGCUGCAGAAUAUUCGGACCCUCUAGUCCCAGCCGCCCAGUGAACUUGAGCUGUGUGACCUUGAGCAAAAGGCAAAAUGUUUCUGAUCCCACCAGGCCCGGAGUCUUGCUAUUUGCUGCUAAAUUAAUAUAUUACCUAAUGCAGAAACCACGUUAAGAACUCCAGCUUUCGGCUCCAACAGGAGCUUCUGAUGGGUUAAAGGCAACAUCUUGCUUUAAUUCCCCCCUUUUUCCCAUCCUCCCCCCACUCCCCACCACCACCAACUACAAAUGUCAGAAAUAAAUUAUUGAAACCAGAUGUAAGGUUUUUGGGUGCACAUUU
rnacentral:lncRNA from 10 species